UCUAGGUACAUGUCAUAUGAAGACAGUUUAUGUUCCUCAUGAGGACCAUGAACAAACACCAAAAUGAUAGGUAGUAAAAAUGAACAGCAGUGAAGGCCAGAUCUUCAAAUGCUAUCCCCACCAAUACCAUGUUGUAAAUUCAGGCAAGAUCUUUGGCAUCCCUGCUGUGCUAGAAGUUUUCCACUAUGAAGGCAGAAUCACUCUGCUACCCAGAUCACACAAGGACCCAACCAAAAACAAGAACCAUAAAAUAACAAUAAAGUCCAAUCAUAAAAGGCCA